CAAAAAGUAGUUUAUUGAGAAUACUGGCUUUGGGGGCCAGAGGUGGGAAACACCCUUUUUGA
rnacentral:tRNA from 1 species